rnacentral:misc_RNA from 1 species
UACACUGUCUACAAGUUGAGUGACGCAAGAUCUUGGACCGCUGGAAUGUUGACAAUCAAAUGCACCACUUGCUUCAUUCGUCCAUUGUCUACUCCUCCUCCAACGCGAAAUAAAGCUGUCCUUCAUCUCUGGAAGACCAUAUUUCCCUCCAUUCUUCUUCUUAAGAUCAUUCCAGUCACAUGAUGUUGACAAGGAUUGAGAGGGCGAGGAAUCGCUGACAAUUCAAUAGUCAAACCUCUACGCAAUUGCUGGUGAUUACUCUUGAAUCCAGAAUCGGUAAUUACUCAGCUUUUCCAUACCUAAGUAGUUAUCCAACUUCCCAGCUAGUUCGUGUAAAUUUCUUUUUAUUAAUUCUACUCUUCAUUUUAUGUUCCAAUUUAUCAAAGGAGAAAUCUAAAAUAAAACUGAUUAAAAAUGGAAAUAAGAAACUCCAAGAGAAUCAGGAUUUCCUGGAAAGAGUUUUAAUCUGUUUUAGAUAAAAAGUUUAAAAUUGACCUAUUUAAACAUUAAUCAAAAGUUUAUCCCCUCGAAUACAUUAACAACAUUAGAAAAAAGAAAGUUUUUUCACCUCUCAUCUUUCCUCUCUGGAAGAGA